CGUCGCUCUUUACCCCAGAAUGCAUUGCAUCACAAACUGCACGCGCGAACAAUGCCCCAACAAGUUGCCAGAUCUUUUUGGAAACUGCACAUUUAACCCUCUCUGCUGCUUAAAGUGGAGCUAGAGGCCAGUAAUGACCACAAACCACAACUCUUCUGUCCUUAAAGAUGUUGUUGCCUAUGUUGAUGUGUGGUCGUCAGACAAAACAGCAAAUUAUUCAAAACCAUUCGUUCAGCAGCUGCAGGAAAUGGGAGCUCAGGUUUCAAAAACAUUCAAUAAACAAGUCACACAUGUGGUCUUCAACAAUGGUCAUCCGGCCACUUGGAGUAAAGCUAAGAAAACUGAUGUGAGACUCGUCUCUGUUCUCUGGAUUGGCAGAUGUAAUGACGAAGGUGUGCGUGUGGAUGAGGGGUUGUAUCCAGCCUUAAAUGACGAGAGCAAUCCUGUGUUGAAGAACAAGAAGCAUCGCUGCAUGCAGCCUAAAGAUUCUCCAGAGAGGACACCUGAAAAUGACAAACGCAUGAAGAAAAAAUUGGACAAGAUGAUGAAGGACCUUGCACCGAAACAACCUCUGGUGACCGAUGUGUCGCCCAUCAUCAUCGAUGAAGAGAAUGGAAUAGUCUACAGCCCUGCAUUGAAAAGAUCAAAUUAUAUGGCACAGCGCUUGAAAGACAUGAAAGAGAAGCGGGAAAACCUCUCACCCACAGCUUCACAAAUGGUUGAAUCCUGCUCACCUACCAGGCUGAAGCCUUCUCUAGGGAGCACACCAACUGUCCUCAAAUUAAUGUUUGACCAUUCGGAUGAUGAUUCCAGUGCCUCUGCUGCGGAACCUGGCUGCUCACCUGAUAAAGAGGAAGGGAGAACAAAAGUUGAUGUAGAUGAUCAUGGAAGUGUUGAAAAACGCCACAGGAAAGAUUCUGCAACGCCCUGGCUGUCACCCUGCCGUGAAGUCCCAAAAAUGAUAUCAAGCCCUUUGAGAUGUCAGGACUUGAAGGACAAAGAGGAUGAAGAGGGAACGAGACAAAAAAAGACAAGAAGCCUCUCAGUCAGAAAAGAGAGAGAGAAAAAGAAAUCUGUACGUUUAUUGGAAAUUCCGUGCCAGGAUACAAAGUCUGACAACAGCCCAAACGUUUGUAAAGAGAAAAGGCGAUCACAGAUAAAAUCAACUAGCCCAAAACCUGAGAAGGGAAAGCAAAAAAGUAAAGCAGACAAACCGUUUACAGAGACUAAGUCCAGUAUUUGUCCCAAUAAUGUGAAUUUUUCGGGUUGUCUCUUGUCACCAGCUACGUCAGGUGGUGCUGGAGUUGGACUGUCCAAAGUAGCUGCUUCUGUCUUACAGAAAACACCCAAACGAGCCAGACUAUCACUUUCUUCCUUGGUGCGAUCCGUCACUGUCUCUGCUCAACCUCACAGUGUUGCAUCAGUUUCGACAGAUGGAGAUGAUAACGUGUUUGAGGACUAUUUUUCCCCAGCGAACCACCAGCAUAGAUCUAAAAAGCCUCUCAUGACGAAUCUGCCUGUGGAGACGGGCAUUCAGAUUCCCUUUGAGUUGAACUCUGUCCCAAAGAAGAGAAAACAAAGAAGAAGUGAAAGUGUCGAGUCUGAGACCAUCAGUAAAAAGAAGAGGAAGGUGGAAGAAAGUCAGAGUGGCAAAAAUCCCAAUCAGUGGUCUGAUGCAAGCAGACACUCACAGCUAGAGGUUAAAGAAUCUCUCCCUGCACUGGACAGUUCAAGUGCCAGUGCAACACUCAUGGCUAAAAGGUCAAGACGCAGCACCUUACCUCUCUCAAGCGCUGGUACAACUACAAAUGAUGCAGUAAAACAAAGACGAGCAUCUGUGCUAUCAGCAGUGUUAACAGAGGAUAAAGCAGUAUCACAGCUGGAGAAAAGUUCUGGUGUCAGGGUCCAAUCUCAAACCUUGGAAAGCAGAGGAAAUGAAUGUACAGUUGCAGCUGGUUCAACAGAGAUCCUCUCUGAAGGUGAUAUCAUUCACAAUCAGAAGAUCAGCGCGAAUCUUCAGAAACUGGACAAAAAAACAAAGGGAAUGAGGACAUUGGUGAUGACAAGCUUGCCCUCUGAGAAGCAGACCACGUUAAUUCAGGUGGUGAAAACACUGGGUGGCUUCAUAAUCGUUGACCGUGUGUGUGAGAGCACGACUCAUGUUGUGUCUGGGGGUCACCGGCGGACUCUCAAUAUUCUGUUGGGCAUAGCCCGUGGCUGCUGGAUCCUUUCCUUUGAAUGGAUUCUCUGGUGUUUAGAGCAAAGACAUUGGAUUCCAGAGGAGCCUUAUGAACUAUCGGACCAGUUUCCAGCAGCCCAGUUUCUCCUCAGAUCUGUCGUCUCCAAAGGCACCUGUCUGCCGGGGAGCACCAGCAGGACCUGUUCCAAGAUCAGCCGACUAUGUUUGUGUCCCAGUACUCCCAGCCGCCCACUCAGUGUCUGAUGGAGCUGAUCCAGCUCUGUGGAGGAACAGUGUGUAAAACUAUGCGGCAGGCGGGUAUCUGCAUAGGGAGGUACAACGGCAGGAGACCAAAGGGAAGCAGGAUCCUGUCGGAGCAGUGGGUGCUGGACAGUAUCACACGUCUGAAGCAGCUGUCAUAUGAUAACUACGAUUUGGAGUGAAAGCUGUAUAAUAUUUGUUAUGGCUGUGAUGUUUAGUUUAUUGAAUUUAAUUCUGAACGGUGCCUCACAUCACACACACCCUCACGUUCAACCUUCAAGUUUCUCUCAUGCAACUUUAUCGUAUUGUUUAGUCUUUGAGGCUUUUUCCCAAAUUCUCUCACCUAUUCUAUUUUCAAAGACUUUGAGUCUAUGUUGCCAUGGUGACCUAUUACUUGUAAGGACUAUCAACCAUUCAACAUGUUACUGUGAAUCUAGAUUAACAUUCUGCAGGUCGAUCUUCUAUUGUAUGAAUUGUGCAACAACUGAAACAUAAGAUUGAGAGUGUGAUUUUAAAAAUACUUUCUGAGCCAGUUCAAUACUUGAAUGGAGAUAAAGGAUACUGUAUCUUUAAUGAAAUCUUUAUAUACGUGUUUUAUGUUGUUCGUGUUAAUAAAUGUUUUUUUAACU